rnacentral:rRNA from 1 species
UAAGCGGAGGAAACCAACAGGGAUUGCCCUAGUAACGGCGAGUGAAGCGGCAACAGCUCAAAUUUGAAACCUGGCGCUUGCGUCCGGAUUGUAAUUUGCAGAGGAUGCUUCUGGGCAGCGGCCGGUCUAAGUUCCUUGGAAAAGGACGUCAUAGAGGGUGAGAACCCCGUAUGUGACCGGCGCGCACCCUCCACGUAGCUCCUUCGACGAGUCGAGUUGUUUGGGAAUGCAGCUCUAAAUGGGAGGUAAAUUUCUUCUAAAGCUAAAUAUUGGCCCGAGACCGAUAGCGCACAAGUAGAGUGAUCGAAAGAUGAAAAGCACUUUGGAAAGAGAGUUAAAAAGCACGUGAAAUUGUUGAAAGGGAAGCGCUUCCCACCAGACUCCGCGGCGGUGUUCCGCCGGUCUUCUGACCGGUCUACUCGCCGCCGUGGGGCCAGCAUCGUCUGGGGCCGCCGGAUAAGACCGCAGGAAUGUAGCUCAUUGAGUGUUAUAGCCUGCGGGGAUGCGGCGCGCCCCGGGCGAGGUCCGCGCUUCGGCAAGGAUGCUGGCGUAAUGGUGGGCAGCGGCCCGUCUUGAAACACGGACCAAGGAGUCUAACAUCUAUGCGAGUGUUCGGGUGUCAAACCCCUACGCGUAAUGAAAGUGAACGGAGGUGGGAGCUUCGGCGCACCAUCGACCGAUCCUGAUGUCCUCGGAUGGAUUUGAGUAAGAGCAUAGCUGUUGGGACCCGAAAGAUGGUGAACUAUGCCUGAAUAGGGUGAAGCCAGAGGAAACUCUGGUGGAGGCUCGCAGCGGUUCUGACGUGCAAAUCGAUCGUCAAAUUUGGGCAUAGGGGCGAAAGACUAAU